UGCGUGUCACCACCAUGUGGGACCGAGGUGUAAGACCUGUCUUCUCCCAACAGAUCCGCACCAUUGCGCCAGGUUCCGGGCGGGUUGUUGAAUCCAAUCGCUGUGGUCAGGAUUUGGUGGGCCCGAGUCGAUCCCCUUGCGCCUAUAAAUACUCGAGCCACGACCCCCUCUCCAUAUCCGUCUGCAUCGACGCUGUCGACCACAAUCGUUGCCGCAAAGCGCCGCUGCGACUUCACCUCAACAUUGUGGGAGCUCGGAGUCGACCAACUGUGCAGGAAGGUUCACUGGAAGGUGAAGAUCGCGGGCGUGAGGGAUUUGGACCUCGGGAGGUCUCGGUGGCUCAGUGAUUGCUCGCCAGAAAUAUUCUCCACCACGGAUUCGCCCCCCAUCGCGGUCAGAGACCAUCGUUUCGUUACCUCCGGUGCGUAGUCUUUGACCGUACUCAUCAUAGUCUCCACAUCGUGUACCACCGUUUGAUUCCAUGGUUGGGACAAGAACUAGCUGGGCGGAUGCUUCGCCAGUGGCACCGUCGUGCUCGUGCCCCGGCGUUGUGUGCCGGCGGUCGAAGGAGCAAGAUGAGAGAGAGAUGCGAGGGCUGUCCAUGGCCGUUGAUCUGGCCGGGGCCGGCUGAGAUCAAGUCGAGGGAUAAUGAUUCAGCGUUCGGAAUCUCGACCGUCCGAUCGUGGUGGGGUGUGUGAGAUUAGAUCGUGAAGUAAUGAACCCGAGUCGUUGGAUAUUGAUGGGUGGUCCAGAUUAAAUCCAGCCAUACCCUUCACCUCGUCGCUUACUAACCAUUGAUCCUAGAAUAGGCGGUGGAGAUUAGUGUGAGGAUAACGUUUCGACUCGAUUGCAAUAUGACCGUUAGAUCUAGAUCUGAGGGAUGUUAUCGCGUACCCGUUCAUAUUUGUGGCGUUAUGAUCUGGGCCAUUGGUUCAGAUCUGACGAUCAAUAUCCACCGAUACCCCUUCGGUGGGGCGGUUGUCUAAAGAAGCCCCUGGGCUUAAUGGGAAUCAACCCGCCGUCCACCGUAGUUUAAUUAAUAUUGCAGAUUGACCCUUUUCUUUCGAAUGGGCCCCUGAACUUGUAGAAAAUGAUGAUUACAGUCCAUAAGUCAUCAGGAAAAUGGUAAAUUAAUUGAGAAAAAAAGAUUUCUAGUAUAAUAAUAAUUCCGGAAGCUUGUUUAAUUCAUCUUAGCUCCUUUUUGAUCCAUUCCAGUUGCAUUAGAUCCAUAAUAAUAUUGUUUAUCCCCUGGUGGCUUUAUAUUGUUAUGAAACCUAAAACAAAAUGUAUGUACUUAAUCUCUUUUAUACCCCACUCCUAAAUCUUUAGAAAAUCAUAACUUUAUAACCGUAGCUCCGAAUUUAGUGAUUCUCGAGCCCAUGAUCUCGUAGCAUCGCGUAGAAUAUUAUUAUGCAGUUUGUGCUUAUGGUUGGUGAGAUGUUAGUUUUGCCUAUACCAUGUUUGUUUGUAUUGCUACACAUAGGAGUGAGGUCACGAGAAUCUGAAGAUCAUCCUGGUAGUUGGGAAUCUUGAGUCUCAGGCAAGUUGUGCCCUUGAUCACUUAUUUUUACCUAAUAAUGUUUACUGUUAAUCACCGUGACAUGUUUAGGUUAAUUUGAUGGGACCUAAUAGGUUUCCCUAGCAUUGUUUAUCCCCCACCUUACAAACAGAUGAAUUAUUGGGUAGAUUUGCUAUUGCUCUACCUGGUUUUGGGAAACUAAUGUUUUAUUAUGAUCAUGUUACAAUUAUGUUGUUUAAUUAUUGUUCAUGGUAAGAUCAUAUUGUUAAUUGGAACAUGGAGAACCACCCGGAAAAAUAGUGCUACCGACGCCCUUGGCUGACUAAUUAGGAAAGCUAGUGGAGGACUACCUUACCCGAAAGGGGGAAGGGCAGUAGGGGAGUGGUCGGUAUAGGGAGGUCCUCAGGCUGAUUUUGCUGCGAUGGCUUUUCAGACGGGGGAUUCCUAUAUUGCGCUUCCUAGAACUGUAGCGGGUUUUCUGAAGCUAGUGGAACUUUGUAAAGGUCUCGUAGUGGUACCCUGUCUCGCUUCCUUAGUAGAGGUGUAUGGGAUCUGAUCAACCUCGUGGCAAAUGGGUAACACGACUUGUGGGUAAAGAUGCACAACCUCUGCAAAGUGUAAAACUGGUAUAUCAGCUGUGCUCACGGUCAUGAGCGGCUCGGACACUCACAUGAUUAACUUAUGGAAUUAAACUCAAUUUGUCAUUUGCAUUGCAUUGUGGGUGUUGUUAUUAACAUUGAUUUCUUAUUUAAUUGGGUUGGUAUCUACUUAUACUUAGUAACUGCUAAUAAAAUUUUGACCAACUUUAAAAGCAAUGCUCAGCUUUAACCAUCCUCUUUGGUAAGCCUUACACUUCACCUGAGCUCCCACCUUUUGUGAGUUCAUGCACAUUAUUCCCCAAAACUUGUUGAGCGAUGAACGUAUGUGAGCUCACCCUUCCUGUACUCAUAUCCCCCAGGUCAAGGACAGGUACCACAGGAUGAGGCGCAUGGAGGAUGCUAUGAUGAGUUCGUGAGAGGUCUAGGCCGUCGUCUCCCAGUCAACUUUGGUUGAUGGAUCGUUGUCUUCGUAUGAUGUAAUUAUUUAAUGAUUUUGUACAGAACUCCAUUAUAUAUUAAUGUUGUGACAUUCGUUUCUGUACCAUGAAUCAUCAUAUGUGUAAGACUUGAUCCUAGCACACUUGGUGAUUAUCUCACGCCCGGGUUUUGGGUCUGGGUGUGACAGAAUUGGUAUUAGAGCGAAUGUUGACUGUAGGACGAAACUUAGAUAGAAAUGGACAACCCUUACCUACUUACCUUAGUUACUCUGAUUCUUUCUAAACUUUUCUUAAUCUUUUCUCACCUACUGUUGCUUUACUCUGAUUACUCUUACCUUUUCGCUUCUAAAGACAAAAGUGGAUUCCACACUUUGAAAUGAUGUACCUAAAGCGACCUUUAGGAAUAGGAGACCUAAUCUUCGGAACAAAAAACAAAACUAU
rnacentral:lncRNA from 1 species